UCCUGUGGCUCAGUUGGUAGAGCAGCUAAACAAUACAAAGGUCGUGGGUUCGAAUCCCAGGCAAAGGAU